AACAGGAUUAGAUACCCUGGUAGUCCAUGCCGUAAACGGUGGGCGCUAGGUGUGAGGGUCUUUCUACGACUUUCGUGCCGUAGCUAACGCAUUAAGCGCCCCGCCUGGGGAGUACGGCCGCAAGGCUAAAACUCAAAGGAAUUGACGGGGGCCCGCACAAGCGGCGGAGCAUGUGGAUUAAUUCGAUGCAACGCGAAGAACCUUACCUGGGCUUGACAUACAUCAGAUCGCUGCAGAGAUGUAGUUUCCCUUUGUGGUUGGUGUACAGGUGGUGCAUGGUUGUCGUCAGCUCGUGUCGUGAGAUGUUGGGUUAAGUCCCGCAACGAGCGCAACCCUUGUCUUAUGUUGCCAGCAUUUGGUUGGGGACUCAUGAGAGACUGCCGGGGUUAACUCGGAGGAAGGUGGGGAUGACGUCAAAUCAUCAUGCCCCUUAUGUCCAGGGCUUCACACAUGCUACAAUGGUCGGUACAACGCGCUGCGACACUGUGAGGUGGAGCGAAUCGCUGAAAGCCGGCCUUAGUUCGGAUUGGGGUCUGCAACUCGACCCCAUGAAGUCGGAGUCGCUAGUAAUCGCAGAUCAGCAAUGCUGCGGUGAAUACGUUCCCGGGCCUUGUACACACCGCCCGUCACGUCAUGAAAGUUGGUAACACCCGAAGCCGGUGGCCUAAACGUGUUAGGGAGCCGUCGAAGGUGGGAUCGGCGAUUGGGACGAAGUCGUAACAAGGUAACC
rnacentral:rRNA from 1 species